UAGGGAAUCUUCGGCAAUGGACGAAAGUCUGACCGAGCAACGCCGCGUGAGUGAAGAAGGUUUUCGGAUCGUAAAACUCUGUUGUUAGAGAAGAACAAGGACGUUAGUAACUGAACGUCCCCUGACGGUAUCUAACCAGAAAGCCACGGCUAACUACGUGCCAGCAGCCGCGGUAAUACGUAGGUGGCAAGCGUUGUCCGGAUUUUUUGGGCGUAAAGCGAGCGCAGGCGGUUUCUUCAGUCUGAUGUGAAAGCCCCCGGCUCAACCGGGGAGGGUCAUUGGAAACUGUGAGACUUGAGUGCAGAAGAGGAGUGUGGAAUUCCAUGUGUAGCGGUUAAAUGCGUAGAUAUAUGGGGGAACACCAGUGGCGAAGGCGGCUCUCUGGUCUGUAACUGACGCUGAGGCUAGAAAGCGUGGGGAGCAAACAGG
rnacentral:rRNA from 1 species